rnacentral:misc_RNA from 1 species
GGCCUUGAUCUUUGUACUUCUCAUGUAAGUGGUUGAGAUCUUUGUAGUUUGAAUCAGUCAAACCGCAUUUGGACGCAACAUUCACGAUCAGUAGGACCUUUCCCUUGUAGGUACUAAGAUCAACAUCAUUUCCCUUUGCAUCCUUUAGAGUAAAGUCAUAGACAGAUUCUGGCUUCUUCUCCGGUUGACCGGCCAUCGUCGUCGUGGUCGGAAUGUGGUACUCUUU